rfam:Rattus norvegicus chromosome 12, whole genome shotgun sequence.
GGGGAUUUAGCUCAACGGUAGAGCACUUGCCUAGCAAGCGCAAGGCCCUGGGUUCGGUCCCCAGCUCCG